rnacentral:rRNA from 1 species
GAUAAACGCUAGCGGCGUGCCUUUAUGCAUGCAAGUCGAACGGUCUCGAUUUAUGAGAUAGUGGCGAACGGGUGAGUAACGCGUAAGUAACCUGCCCCUAAGUAGGGGGAUAACUCUGAGAAAUUUAGAGCUAAUACUGUAUGUGGUGGUGGGGGUAAUGCUUCAUCACUAAAGCCUUAGGGCGCUUAGGGAGGGGCUUGUGUCCGAUUAGCUAGUUGGUAGGGUAAUGGUUUACCAAGGCGAUGAUCGGUAGCUGGUUUGAGAGGACAUCCAGCCACACUGGGAUUGAGAUACGGCCCAGACUCCUACAGGAGGCAGCAGCAAGGUAAUUUUGUGCAAUGGGACGAAAGCCUGACACAGCGACGCCGCGGUGGGGGAUGAAGGCCUUCGGGUUCGUUAAACCCCUUUUCUCAGGGAAGAAUAAUGACGGUACCUGGGGAAUAAGUCUUGGCUAACUACGUG